rnacentral:antisense_RNA from 1 species
GACUUGCCAGCGAGGGAUGCCGCCAGCCGCCGGGGGCCUUCUCCAGGACCAGGAGAGAAAUCCUUUCUCGGCUUCACGACGCGGCCACUCCCACCCCUGAGACGCCCACCUGGCGGACUCUGAGGGGGGAUUCGGCUGCGUGUAAUACCACCUCCACCCAUCAUCCCUCACAAUGCGCGGAAAACCACAGGCGGCUGUGCGCGCAGCGUCGGCUCAGCCACCGCAGCUCCUCCCCUGGGAUGAAAAAGCAAACUCUGACGUCUUGAAAGCUGGCAGCUCUCUGUAUGGAAAAUCUCUGCCCAGUGAAAAAAUGUACCGACAAGAUUACUAAGUAACACAGUCUUCUGGGAAUGCCUUAUCAAUGCCAGCUAUUUGAAGAGCACCCAAAGUCAAACUAGUGCUCCGCGCUGGCAGUCUGGAAAAGGCAGAUGUGUAUUUCAGUCAGUAAUGGAUAUUACCACCAGCAUUUAAUCAAGGAAGCAGGAAGUGAUCCAUCACUGCUAGCUGCUAUCUACAGGAAUUCUGUCUACAGGCAGGGCAGACCAGUCAGCCAGUAUCUUCCCGAAGUACCUUGGUCUUCCACUCUCCAUCCCACUGAGAGAGCCGUUCCUCUAGUGAGGCAUUUCUAAGCAGCUGUCCAUUGAACUCUACCCCUUGAGAUAUCCUGAGAAAUAGGAAUCUAUGGUCAAAUUUGUUUGGAAAGUAGUAUAUCUUCCUUGAAGAUUCACAAUGCAUAUUAAUAUGCUUAGGGCUCUGAGAAGUCCUGUAUUAAAAAUGCUUGUUAAACUUU